CACCUCUAGCAUUACAAGUAUUAGAGGCAUUGCCUGCCCAGUGACUAUAGUUAAACGGCCGCGGUAUCCUGACCGUGCAAAGGUAGCAUAAUCAUUUGUUCCUUAAUUAGGGACUAGUAUGAAUGGCUAGACGAGGGAUCAACUGUCUCUUAUUUUCAAUCAGUGAAAUUGACCUUCCAGUGAAGAGGCUGGAAUACAAUAAUAAGACGAGAAGACCCUAUGGAGCUUAAAUUAACAAGCUUAAUUAUUACCUAAAUACCCUAAUGGAACAAAACAAAAAAUAUAAGCUUAAAAUUUUGGUUGGGGUGACCUCGGAGAACAAAAAAUCCUCCGAAAGAUAUAUAACAUAGACCUACAAGUCAAAGUAACUCAGUUAUCUUAUUGACCCAAAAAUUGAUCAACGGACCAAGUUACCCUAGGGAUAACAGCGCAAUCCUAUUUAAGAGUCCAUAUCGACAAUAGGGUUUACGACCUCGAUGUUGGAUCAGGACAUCCCAAUGGUGCAGAAGCUAUUAAUGGUUCGUUUGUUCAACG
rnacentral:rRNA from 1 species